UGAGUGCUUGCACUUUGCUGACGAGUGGCGGACGGGUGAGUAAUGCUUGGGAACAUGCCUUUGUGAGGGGGAUAACCAUUGGAAACGAUGGCUAAUACCGCAUAAUGUCUACGGACCAAAGUGGGGUUUCGGCCUCACGCACAAAGAGUGGCCCAAGUGAGAUUAGCUAGUUGGUGAGGUAAAGGCUCACCAAGGCGACGAUCUCUAGCUGUUCUGAGAGGAAGAUCAGCCACACUGGGACUGAGACACGGCCCAGACUCCUACGGGAGGCAGCAGUGGGGAAUAUUGCACAAUGGGGGCAACCCUGAUGCAGCCAUGCCGCGUGUGUGAAGAAGGCCUUCGGGUUGUAAAGCACUUUCAGUCAUGAGGAAAGGUUGGUAGUUAAUACCUGCCAGCUGUGACGUUAAUGACAGAAGAAGCACCGGCUAACUCCGUGCCAGCAGCCGCGGUAAUACGGAGGGUGCGAGCGUUAAUCGGAAUUACUGGGCGUAAAGCGCACGCAGGCGGUGAUAUAAGCUAGAUGUGAAAGCCCCGGGCUCAACCUGGGAGGGUCAUUUAGAACUGUGUCACUAGAGUCUUGGAGAGGGGAGUGGAAUUCCAGGUGUAGCGGUGAAAUGCGUAGAGAUCUGGAGGAACAUCAGUGGCGAAGGCGACUCCCUGGCCAAAGACUGACGCUCAUGUGCGAAAGUGUGGGUAGCGAACAGGAUUAGAUACCCUGGUAGUCCACACCGUAAACGCUGUCUACUAGCUGUGUGUGUAUUUUAUACGUGCGUAGCGAAGCUAACGCGCUAAGUAGACCGCCUGGGGGAGUACGGCCGCAAGGUUAAAACUCAAAUGAAUUGACGGGGGCCCGCACAAGCGGUGGAGCAUGCGGUUUAAUUCGAUGCAACGCGAAGAACCUUACCUACACUUGACAUGCAGAGAAGUUAGCAGAGAUGCUUUCGUGCCUUCGGAACUCUGACACAGGUGCUGCAUGGCUGUCGUCAGCUCGU
rnacentral:rRNA from 1 species